rnacentral:lncRNA from 10 species
CUCAAACACAAUGCUGGCAAGCCUAGUCUCGUGUUCGUGGAGGGGGGAGGGGGUUAUAAAAGCGACAUGUUCACACAAGCAUGGCAGAGCCCAUGCAUAAACCAUUUGGUUUUGCAAUUAAAAACAGGUUUGACUUCCUUCUGCAACAGUAAGACAACGUCAAAGCAACAAUCAUCCCGAAAAUUUUCCCUUGUGAAUUCAAAUGAACUGUAACACCAAAGGAUGGUUCAUUACGUUGCCCCAUUGCAGAGAUCCAGAGUGCUCAUGGACAGGGCCAGAAAGUCUGAGUGGAUGUGCCCUACUGAGAGCCAGCCUUGACUUUAAGAGCAAAGAUGUGCUUUCUCGGAGAUCUAGGGCUCUUGCUUUUAUAUUCGACAAGUUGUUUUCAACACUUCAGUCUUUUCAGCUGUUGGGAGAAGGACUGUAAGAUUCCUGCCAACUCUACACAAGAAAUAUUACAGAAGUGCUCAUCACCAAAACAAAUGACUGAUGUGACUGUUGACCUAUGAGUGUCAAAAUUAACUUACCACAAGAGAGAAAAACGUCUUUAAUAUGUUUAAAACAUGUUCUGAAAGGGGACAGAAAGGAUGGAGCCCGAGCACCUAAUAUUGUCAUUUCACUGUCACACAGCCUGUGCCCACAGCAUGAAUUUUCCUAGGAAAUGUCACUCUGAUGCCUUCUAUGUAGAAGAAACUUGAAUUGUCAAAUACUCACCAAACUAGCACAGUCUUCCAAAAACCAGGAAGACCUGGAACCAAACAGAAAAUGAAUAUUCAGCCAAGCAUGAAACUUUCAAAGAAAAUAAACUGCAUCUAUCCCUAUUAAACUCUUUGUUCAUUCUAAAUAAAAACAAUUUAAUUAAUUCACUUAGGCAAUUCCACACCAAAUAUCUAGUAAUUGAGGGAAACCUACAUAUGAGAAAAGAGGGAGUAAACAGUUAAGGACAGUGGCCUGAAAAACCUGUAAAGUUGAUUCCAUUCAAUUUUAAUUGUAUACAGAUAGUCACUGCCUCAGCCACAAUAUCAGAUGGCGUGGUCUGUGUUUUAGAUAUUCUUUUGUUCCAGCAUGACUAUCUACAUAACAUCAGAAUUGCCAUCUGAUUGAGCAACUACAACUGCCACAGAGAGAUUUCUUUUUAUCUUACUUUAGUAACAAUACUCUGUGUGUGUGUGUGUGUGUGUGUGUGUGUGUGUGUGUGUGUGUAAUAUGGGGUAAUGACUCUUUGAGAUAUAUUUUACAAAUUUUAAAAAUUAAUAGAAACUUACCAAUCCUAAUUUCUUAUUUUCAUGUAUUUGCACAUUAUAUCAGUCAUGUUAUUCUCAUUUUUAAUCUACAUAGUAGAUUUAUGCUGCAAUAUGUAGUUACCUUCCAUAUUUCCUAAUUUGGAAGUGUUUGAAUUGCUUAAAACGUGAGACUUUACAAAUGGUUCUGCUAUAUAUAUAUAUCUUUAUUCAGAUUUCUCUUUUGCAUACCUGCCUAAUAAUUGAAUGAAUGGAUCUAGGUCUAGAAGAGUGUCUAGCUCCUUUUACAUCAUUGCAGGUUUGUGUCUAGCAAAAUUAAACCAAUUUAUAAAUGUAUAAAUUCCACCAAUGGCAGUCAUAUAUGAAUGUAUGUCCCCUGGAUCCUCGCCUUCAGUGAUUUUUUUUAAAAAAUUGUCUAUUGUUUUGCUAGCUUAAUUAGCAUACAAAGAUACCUAAAAUUUGAAUAACUUUCAUUUAUUUUACUAUUAAUGAGUGUGUAUAUUGUGUUUGCCAUGGUCCCUUACUACUUCAUUUCUAUGAUGGAAAUCUACAGACCACAACCGUGAGUGAAGUGCUGUGUCAAGAUCAUAAAGAUGACCAGGGCAUCACUGGUACCCUCAAAGGGCACAUAGUAUAAAUGAAGGAUACAAACGUAAAAGGAAAACCACAACAAAAAAUAAGUUACACCAAAAAAAUUAAAUACUAUAUAGCAAUAAAAAGGAAUGAGCUGCUGACACGUGCAACAUCAGAUAAGAACUUCAGAAGCAUGAAGCUAGGUAAAAGAAGGAAGACUCAAAAAGCCAUAUACAGCACGAUGCCACUUAUAUAACAUUCUGGAAAAGUCAAAACUAUGUUAACAAAAAACACAGGAGCAAUUGCCAGGGACUGGGAGAGGGGAAGGGGGCUGACUAGGAGUGGGUGAUAGAAUAUUCUGUAUCUUGAUUAUGGCAUGAUGUCAAAAUGUGUAGAGCUGUACACCUUAAAAGGAUGGAUUUUACUAAAUAUGAUUGAUAUCUCUACAAAUCUGAUGUUAAAAAGGGAGAAGUGAAAUGGUUGACGGUAUCUGCUGAGAAUGAAGAUUCUCAGAUCAGGCUGCUGGAAUUUGUAUCUCUUUCCUAUCCCUUACUGACUAUGUGGGUCUACACAAUUAUUUAACCUCUCUGUGCAUCAACUUGUUCAUCUUUGAAACGGGUAUAAUAGUGCCUACUUCAUGGUAUUAUUAGGAGAGAUAAUCAGUGCAACAUAUCUGGAAUAUGAUAACAGCUCAAUAGAUUUUGUUUCUUUUUUCUUUUUUCCAAGUGCUACAAUGGAGUUUUUGUUUGUUUGUUUGUUUGUUUGUUUUUAUAGAGGGAGUCUCGCUCUGUCACCCAGGCUGGAGUGCAAUGGC